CUGUGUCCAAGUGUUCUCAUUGUUCAGUUCCCACCUACGAGUGAGAACAUGCACUGUUUGGAUUUCUGUCCUUGGAAUAGUUUGCUCGGAAUGAUGGUUUCCAGCUUCAUCCAUGUCCUUACAAAGGACAUGAACGCAUCCCUUUUUAUGGCCGCAUAGUAUUCCAUGGUGCAUAUGUGCCACAUUUUCUUAAUCCAGUCUAUCAUUGAUGGACAUUUGGGUUGGUUCCAAGUCUCUGCUAUUGUGAGUAGUGCCGCAAUAAACACACGCUUUGCGUGGUGCCUCCAAGUGUCCUUGCAGAUGCCAAAAGGAAGGUGGUUCAGUUCCCUAAUCAGAGACUUCCUGGCAGGACAAGGUACUGACAUCAGCAUUAGCUGCUGCAACUCUGAAAGGAAGGGUGUGAGCCUGCUGUGGGACUGCUCCCUCCUCGGGUUGGGCCUGCUGACUCCAGGGUCAGCUUCCCCUAUAUCUGCAUUCCCUCUGCUGCAGGCCUGAGCUCUCCUUGCCCCUGGCUCUCUUCUGCAGAGGGCCUGCUCUCAGCUGCCACAAGAGGGCGCCGGAGAACGGACCUGAGCAGAGAGGCAGGAGCUCCUCUGCAGGUCCUCCCAGGCACCAACCCUUCCGGGAGGGAGGGAGGCUAGGGAGUCCUCUUAGACAGAUCCUCAGUCACAUCUCUCUGCUUAUGUCUCAGGAAGACCAGCUCCUCCUACUGUCUUCUGUGCUAGGGAUCACUUCCUUGUUGAGUGGGGCCUGAGUUUUAAGAGGAUCUUCUGCUCCUCUUCAUCUGGUCCCUUUCCUUCCAAGGCCUCAGAGAGGAAGGCAUGCAGUGGGCCCUAGCGGUGCUUCUAGCUUUCCUGUCUCCUGCCAGUCAGAAAUCUUCCAACUUGGAAGGCAGAACGAAGUCAGUCAUCAGGCAGACUGGGUCAUCUGCUGAAAUCACUUGUGAUCUUGAUGGAGGAAGUACCGGCUACAUCCACUGGUACCUACACCAGGAGGGGAAGGCCCCACAGCGUCUUCUGUACUAUGACUCCUACACCUCCAGGGUUGUGUUGGAAUCAGGAAUCAGUCCAGGGAAGUAUGAUACUUACGCAAGCACAAGGAAGAACUUGAGAUUGAUACUGCGAAAUCUAAUUGAAAAUGACUCUGGGGUCUAUUACUGUGCCACCUGGGACGGGCACAGUGAUUCAGAUCCGCCCUACACCACACUGAAAAUCUGCCUUGUGGCUGCUUCUGGUACACAAGAUAGAGCCGCCCCCUCUCAUUUCCUGCCACCAAAUUUACCGUGUGCUGAACAAGAGAAACAUUGCUUAACUCCUGAUCUCCCCUGCAAUAUUACACUCCCCUGGCAGCAGCUGCACCCUGUUCCCCACGCUCCCCCAGGACUUUCCUGAAGACCAAGCUGCCAUCUCAGCUAAGCCUCAGCGAAGCAGCCUGGCUGAGAUCAAGGUUCUCUUAGCUCUCCUAGGACAUGGGGGAGGACCACUCACUCUGCUUCCUAGGACAAAUGGGUACCCCUAGGGUCCAGCUGUGAAGCAAGAUAUUUUGGAGAACAAAUAGGAAGGGUAUUUAUACUAAAUUGUGUAUCCCAUCAUGAUCCAGAAACCGCAGCUGAGACUGGUGCUUAUUCCUUAUAUCUAUGACAAUAUAAGCAAUACUAUAAUGACCACUGAAACACCAGGCCUGGGUAUGCAGUUGAACAUUCUCUCCCUCUGCCCUCCCUUUUAUUCUCUCUCUCUUUUUUCUUAAUUCUUUGCUUGCUUUUAUUAUUUUUCUCUCUCUCCCUUCCUCCCUCCCUCCAUCCGUCCCUCCCUCCUUCCCUCCCUCUCUCCCUCUCUCCUUCCCUCCCUUCCUCUCUUCUUUCCUUCCAUCCAUUCUCCUUUGUUUUCCUUCCUUCCUUCUUUGCUUUUCUCUUGCUUUCCUUUUUGGGUACAUAAUCAGAAUACUUUUUCCACAAAAUCAUUUGAAAUAAUUUUUCUCUAUGUGUUUAUGUCAACAUUGAUAUAGCUACUUUAAUUGUUCAGUUUUCUUUUUUACAUUUUGGAAAUUUGUUGUAUUACUUUGUUUUGUUUCAUAUCUGUUUUGUAUAUAUAAAACACUUACAUGGAAGUGAAGUCAAAAUUAUAAAAGAUGAUGCAUUUGAAGAUUU